rnacentral:rRNA from 1 species
AUUGAACGCUGGCGGCAGGCUUAACACAUGCAAGUCGAGCGGGGGAAGGUAGCUUGCUACCGGACCUAGCGGCGGACGGGUGAGUAAUGCUUAGGAAUCUGCCUAUUAGUGGGGGACAACAUCUCGAAAGGGAUGCUAAUACCGCAUACGUCCUACGGGAGAAAGCAGGGGAUCUUCGGACCUUGCGCUAAUAGAUGAGCCUAAGUCGGAUUAGCUAGUUGGUGGGGUAGAGGCCUACCAAGGCGACGAUCUGUAGCGGGUCUGAGAGGAUGAUCCGCCACACUGGGACUGAGACACGGCCCAGACUCCUACGGGAGGCAGCAGUGGGGAAUAUUGGACAAUGGGGGGAACCCUGAUCCAUCCAUGCCGCGUGUGUGAAGAAGGCCUUAUGGUUGUAAAGCACUUUAAGCGAGGAGGAGGCUACUCUAGUUAAUACCUAGGGAUAGUGGACGUUACUCGCAGAAUAAGCACCGGCUAACUCUGUGCCAGCCGCUGCCGUAA